rnacentral:rRNA from 1 species
GAUGAACGCUGGCGGCGUGCUUAACACAUGCAAGUCGAACGGUAAGGCCCUUCGGGGUACACGAGUGGCGAACGGGUGAGUAACACGUGGGUGAUCUGCCCUGCACUUCGGGAUAAGCCUGGGAAACUGGGUCUAAUACCGGAUAGGACCCUGGGAUGCAUGUCCUGGGGUGGAAAGCUUUUGCGGUGUGGGAUGGGCCCGCGGCCUAUCAGCUUGUUGGUGGGGUGAUGGCCUACCAAGGCGACGACGGGUAGCCGGCCUGAGAGGGUGACCGGCCACACUGGGACUGAGAUACGGCCCAGACUCCUACGGGAGGCAGCAGUGGGGAAUAUUGCACAAUGGGCGCAAGCCUGAUGCAGCGACGCCGCGUGAGGGAUGACGGCCUUCGGGUUGUAAACCUCUUUCAGCACCGACGAAGCGCAAGUGACGGUAGGUGCAGAAGAAGGACCGGCCAACUACGUGCCAGCCGCCGCGGUAA